rnacentral:misc_RNA from 3 species
UAGAACAGUUUCUGUACUAUAUUG